rnacentral:rRNA from 1 species
AUGAGAGUUUGAUCCUGGCUCAGGGUGAACGCUGGCGGCGUGGAUAAGGCAUGCAAGUCGUACGCUCUGUACCAUAUUUUGGUACGGAGAGUGGCGAACGGGGCAGUAACACGUGUCUAACUCACCCUUCAGUUGGGCAUAACUAAUCGAAAGAUUAGCUAAUUCCCAAUGGUCCCUUGUUUACAUAAGUAGACGAGGGUAAAGCCUUACGGCGCUGAAGGAGAGGGGCGCGGCCGAUCAGCUAGUUGGUGAGGUAAAAGCUCACCAAGGCUAAGACCGGUAGGGGGCCUGAGAGGGUGUUCCCCGCCAAUGGUACUGAGACACGGACCUUACUCCUACGGGAGGCAGCAGCCGAGAAUCUUCCGCAAUGGGCGAAAGCCUGACGGAGCGACGCCGCGUGCCGGAAGAAGUCCUUCGGGAUGUAAACGGCUUUUGUAGGGGAGGAAGUCCCGCCUUUGGCGGGAUUGACAGUACCCUACGAAUAAGGGACGACCAACUUCGUGCCAGCAGUCGCGGUAAGACGAAGGUCCCAAGCGUUACCCGGAUUCACUGGGCGUAAAGGGCAAGAAGGCGGUCCUUUAAGUUUUUUCUUAAAGUCUUCAGGCUCAACCUGAAGAAUGGAAAAAAUACUGAAGGACUAGAGACUAUCAGAGGUUAGCGGAACGUACGGUGUAGGGGUGAAAUCCGAUGAUAUCGUACGGAACGCCGAAGGCGAAGGCAGCUAACUAGGAUAGUUCUGACGCUGAUCUUGCGAAAGCUAGGGGCGCAAACCGGAUUAGAUACCCGGGUAGUCCUAGCCCUAAACGAUGGAUGCUAACUUUAGGGAGUUUCGACCCUCUCUGAGGUAAAGCUAACGCGUUAAGCAUCCCGCCUGGGGAGUACAACCGCAAGGUUGAAACUCAAAGGAAUAGGCGGAAGCCCGAACAAGCGGUGGACCAUGCUGCUUAAUUCGAGAGUAACCGAAGAAUCUUACCCAGGCUUGACAUGUUAGUCUCAAUGCUUCCUUCGAAAGAAGGGAGAAUCCCGUCUUUGGCGGGAAGGCUAACACAGGUGCUGCAUGGCGGUCGUCAGCUCGUGGUGUGAACCGUAACCUUAAGUGGCACAACGAGCGCAACCCUUGUCCUGUGUUACAUGUGUCACAGGAGACUGCCGAGUAUUACUCUGAGGAAGGAGAGGAUGACGUCACGUCUGCAUGGCCCUUAUGCCUGGGGCUGCAAGCAUGGUACAAUGGUAACUACAAAGGGAAGCAAAAGCGUGAGCUGGAGCAAAUCCCCAAAAGUUACCUCAGUUCGGAUUGAAGGCUGAAACUCGCCUUCAUGAAGUUGGAAUCGCUAGUAAUCGCGGGUCAGCUAUACCGCGGUGAAUACGUUCUCGGGCUUUGCACUCACUGCCCGUCAGGUCAGGGGAGUUGUUUUUACCUAAAGUCCCACCUUGAGUGGGAUUAGGGUAAGAGCAAUGACCAGGGCUAAGUCGUAACAAGGUAUCGCUACCGGAAGGUGGCGAUGGAAUAAAUCUUU